UAUGUACUUCUUCCGUCCCAAAAUUCUUGUUUUAGAUAUAAAUGUAUCUAGUCAUUUUAUCUUAGCAAUGUUCAAAAAUGAAUGUGUCAAAUUACUAAAAUAUGACUAGAUACAUUUAUAUCUAAACAAAUUUAAGACAAGAAUUUUGGAACGGAGGGAGUACUAG
rnacentral:pre_miRNA from 1 species